GACGAACGCUGGCGGCGUGCUUAACACAUGCAAGUCGAGCGGAAAGGCCCUUCGGGGUACUCGAGCGGCGAACGGGUGAGUAACACGUGAGUAACCUGCCCCAGACUUUGGGAUAACCCUCGGAAACGGGGGCUAAUACCGGAUACGACACAGCUUCGCAUGGGGUCUGUGUGGAAAGUUUUUCGGUUUGGGAUGGGCUCGCGGCCUAUCAGCUUGUUGGUGGGGUGAUGGCCUACCAAGGCGACGACGGGUAGCCGGCCUGAGAGGGCGACCGGCCACACUGGGACUGAGAGACGGCCCAGACUCCUACGGGAGGCAGCAGUGGGGAAUAUUGCACAGUGGGCGGAAGCCUGAUGCAGCGACGCCGCGUGAGGGAUGACGGCCUUCGGGUUGUAAACCUCUUUCAGCAGGGACGAAGCGUAAGUGACGGUACCUGCAGAAGAAGCGCCGGCCAACUACGUG
rnacentral:rRNA from 1 species